rnacentral:rRNA from 1 species
GACGAACGCUGGCGGCGUGCCUAACACAUGCAAGUCGAACGGAGAUAUGGAAGUAGUUUACUAUUGAAAUAUCUUAGUGGCGCACGGGUGAGUAACACGUAGGCAACCUACCCUUCAGUGGGGGACAACAGAGGGAAACUUCUGCUAAUACCGCAUACGGCCUUGUACUGGGAUGUACGAGGAGAAAGGAUUUAUUCGCUGAGGGAUGGGCCUGCGGCCUAUCAGGUAGUUGGUGGGGUAAAGGCCUACCAAGCCUGCGACGGGUAGCCGGACUGAGAGGUCGACCGGCCACACUGGAACUGAGACACGGUCCAGACUCCUACGGGAGGCAGCAGUAGGGAAUAUUGCACAAUGGGGGAAACCCUGAUGCAGCGACG